CUCCAUGAGAAGAUGGCCUGUGAGUACGCCAGUUAAAUUACUCCUUCCCGCUGGCAGUUCUGAUUUGGUCAAGGGAUAAGCACUGCCUGAGCGGGGCUUUAUGGAGCCUUCCCUGGAAUUGACAUAUGGGAUAAUGAGUUCUACAGAUUGAACCUAGGGCCUUAGCAAUGCUAGGCAAACACUGGGCUACAGCUCUAGCACAAGACUUCCGGAUCCAAACAUUCUUCAGCUGUGAUGCAAACCUUUUGCCUGUGCAACAUUCAUCUGAACUGACUUGCAUCGCCCCCACGGGACUGAGGAUAAGGAGAGCCGAUGUGAACAUAAAACUUGUUGCUCUACACCUACGCUGCGACCCUUUAAUUCAGUCCCUCAUGGUGUGGCAACCCGAACCAGAACAUUCUUUUCAUUGCUACUUCAUAGCUGUAAUUUUGCUACUGUUACGAUUUAUAAUGUAAAUAUAUGUUUUUCUGUGGUGUUAAGU
rnacentral:lncRNA from 1 species